rnacentral:lncRNA from 10 species
AGGCCCCAGCGCUCGGCCGGCCGCGAGCCCGCCGGCCGGGGACGAGCGUCGCAGCUCAUGCUGAUCGCUGUCCUCCUCCUCCCCCUCAGGCGGCGCUGGCGGCGGCCCUGGGACCCGCGGAAGCCGGCAUGCUGGAGAAGCUGGAGUUCGAGGACGAAGCAGUAGAAGACUCAGAAAGUGGUGUUUACAUGCGAUUCAUGAGGUCACACAAGUGUUAUGACAUCGUUCCAACCAGUUCAAAGCUUGUUGUCUUUGAUACUACAUUACAAGUUAAAAAGGCCUUCUUUGCUUUGGUAGCCAACGGUGUCCGAGCAGCGCCACUGUGGGAGAGUAAAAAACAAAGUUUUGUAGGUAAGCAGUGUGGGCCUGAGGAAAAUCGAAAAUGGAAACCUUGAAAGCAGAAAGCCUAAAGUAUUUUAAUAGAUGCCGGUUUGGAAUUCAACCUAGUAAACAUGUUUCCAAGUUAAAGAACAUUCUUGCUGGCAGGGUGCAGUGGCCCAUGCCCGUAAUCUCAGCACUUUGGGAGGCCAAGGCAGGGA